CAAGAUGCUGCCCGAGGAGGAAGCCGAGCCGGCCCAGAGGGUGGCCACCCUCUGCAAGGCCGAGCAGAGGCGUGGCAACAUCGAGGAAAGGCUGCGCCAGAUGGAGGCCCAGCUGGAGGAAAAGAAACAAGAACUGCAGCGGAUGUAAAGGCACAGGUCAGGGUAGAUGUUCCUAAGAAGAGGAAUAGCAUAAUCGUGACUUGACGAAAGGGAGGCCCCUGUCCCUUGAAUCCCCUGAGACUUUUCCUUGGGUAGCU